UACGUAGGGUGCAAGCGUUAAUCGGAAUUACUGGGCGUAAAGCGUGCGCAGGCGGUGAUGUAAGACAGAUGUGAAAUCCCCGGGCUCAACCUGGGAACUGCAUUUGUGACUGCAUCGCUGGAGUGCGGCAGAGGGGGGAUGGAAUUCCGCGUGUAGCAGUGAAAUGCGUAGAUAUGCGGAGGAACACCGAUGGCGAAGGCAAUCCCCUGGGCCUGCACUGACGCUCAUGCACGAAAGCGUGGGGAGCAACAGG
rnacentral:rRNA from 1 species